rnacentral:miRNA from 1 species
GCCCUGCCCUCCCUUCCCCUGCU